rnacentral:rRNA from 1 species
AGAGUUUGAUCCUGGCUCAGGACGAACGCUGGCGGCGUGCUUAACACAUGCAAGUCGAACGAGAAUCUGCGGAACGAGGAUUCGUCCAAGUGAAGCAGAGGACAGUGGCGGACGGGUGAGUAACGCGUGAGGAACCUGCCUUUCAGAGGGGGACAACAGUUGGAAACGACUGCUAAUACCGCAUGACACAUAGAUGUCGCAUGGCAUUUAUGUCAAAGAUUUAUCGCUGAAAGAUGGCCUCGCGUCUGAUUAGCUAGUUGGUGAGGUAACGGCCCACCAAGGCGACGAUCAGUAGCCGGACUGAGAGGUUGAACGGCCACAUUGGGACUGAGAUACGGCCCAGACUCCUACGGGAGGCAGCAGUGGGGAAUAUUGGGCAAUGGGCGCAAGCCUGACCCAGCAACGCCGCGUGAAGGAAGAAGGCUUUCGGGUUGUAAACUUCUUUUGUCAGGGACGAGCAGAAGACGGUACCUGACGAAUAAGCCACGGCUAACUACGUGCCAGCAGCCGCGGU